rnacentral:tRNA from 1 species
GCGUCGGUAGUCUAAUGGCUAGGAGUUUCAUUAGUCAAAGACUAUGGGACUAGUAAAUAGAGGCCUUCCAAGCCUUUGAUCCGGGAGAAUAAAAGCGAACCUUUUAUUCCGGAAUUUCGAAUCCCGGCCGACGCA